rnacentral:rRNA from 1 species
GACGGAGGAUGCAAGCGUUAUCCGGAAUGAUUGGGCGUAAAGCGUUCGUAGGUGGCUAUUCAAGUCUGCUGUCAAAGCGCGCGGCUUAACCGCAGAGAGGCAGUGGAAAAUGGACGACUGGAGUGCAGAAGGGGUAGAGGGAAUUCCCAGUGUAGCGGUGAAAUGCGUAGAGAUUGGGAAGAACACCGGUGGCGAAAGCGCCUGGCUGGACCGGCACUGACACUGAGGGACGAAAGCUAGGGGAGCGAAAGGG